rnacentral:rRNA from 1 species
GAUGAACGCUAGCGGCAGGCCUAACACAUGCAAGUCGAGGGAGAAGCCCUUUCGGGGGCAGAAACCGGCGCACGGGUGCGUAACGCGUAUGCAACCUACCUUUCACAGGGGGAUAGCCCGAAGAAAUUUGGAUUAAUACCCCAUAAUAUUAUUGGAUGGCAUCAUUUGAUAAUUAAAACUGCGGUGGUGAAAGAUGGGCAUGCGUCCUAUUAGCUAGUUGGAGUGGUAACGGCACCCCAAGGCUACGAUAGGUAGGGGUCCUGAGAGGGAGAUCCCCCACACUGGUACUGAGACAGGGACCAGACUCCUACGGGAGGCAGCAGUGAGGAAUAUUGGUCAAUGGUCGGAAGACUGAACCAGCCAUGCCGCGUGCAGGAAGAAUGCCUUAUGGGUGGUAAACUGCUUUUAUAUGGGAAGAAUAAGGCGUACGUGUACGUUGAUGACGGUACCAGAUGAAUAAGCAUCGGCUAACUCCGUG